GAUGAACGCUGACAGAAUGCUUAACACAUGCAAGUCAUUGGCGAAGCUGCGCUUGCGCAGUCUAGCCAAGGCGGACGGGUGAGUAACGCGUAAGGAACUUGCCCUGCAGACAGGGAUAACAGACGGAAACGACUGAUAACACCUGGUAUUGUCAGGCUGGCGCAUGCCGGCCUGAUGAAAGGAGACGCUGCAGGAGAGCCUUGCGUCCUAUUAGCUAGUUGGUGGGGUAACGGCCCACCAAGGCGAUGAUAGGUAGCCGGCCUGAGAGGGUGAACGGCCACAAGGGGACUGAGAUAUGGCCCUUACUCCUACGGGAGGCAGCAGUGGGGAAUAUUGGACAAUGGGGGCAACCCUGAUCCAGCAAUUCUGUGUGCACGAAGAAGGUUUUCGGAUUGUAAAGUGCUUUCAGCAGGGAAGAAGAAAGUGACGGUACCUGCAGAAGAAGCGACGGCUAAAUACGUG
rnacentral:rRNA from 1 species